rnacentral:rRNA from 1 species
GAUGAACGCUAGCGGCAGGCUUAAUACAUGCAAGUCGAACGGUGUCUUCGGACAUAGUGGCGCACGGGUGCGUAACACGUAUGCAACCUACCUUACAUUGGGGGAUAGCCUUUCGAAAGGGAGAUUAAUACCGCAUAAGACAGUAGCUGGGCAUCCAGCAGCUGUUAAAGAUUUAUCGAUGUAAGCUGGGCAUGCGUCCAAUUAGCUAGUUGGUGAGGUAACGGCUCACCAAGGCUAUGAUUGGUAGGGGAACUGAGAGGUCAAUCCCCCACACUGGCACUGAGAUGCGGGCCAGACUCCUACGGGAGGCAGCAGUAGGGAAUAUUGGGCAAUGGACGCAAGUCUGACCCAGCCAUGCCGCGUGCAGGAUGAAGGCGUUAUGCGUUGUAAACUGCUUUUAUACAGGAAGAAACGACUCUUGCGAGAGGCAUUGACGGUACUGUAUGAAUAAGCACCGGCUAACUCCGUGCCAGCCGCCGCCGUAAUAC